rnacentral:rRNA from 1 species
UACGAAGGGGGCUAGCGUUGUUCGGAAUCACUGGGCGUAAAGGGCGCGUAGGCGGCCGUUCAAGUCGGGGGUGAAAGCCUGUGGCUCAACCACAGAAUUGCCUUCGAUACUGGACGGCUCGAGACCGGAAGAGGUCAGUGGAACUGCGAGUGUAGAGGUGAAAUUCGUAGAUAUUCGCAAGGACACCAGUGGCGAAGGCGGCUGACUGGUCCGGUUCUGACGCUGAGGCGCGAAAGCGUGGGGAGCAAACAGG